rnacentral:rRNA from 1 species
GGCUCAGAUUGAACGCUGGCGGCAGGCUUAACACAUGCAAGUCGAACGAUGAUUAUCUAGCUUGCUAGAUAUGAUUAGUGGCGGACGGGUGAGUAACAUUUAGGAAUCUGCCUAGUAGUGGGGGAUAGCUCGGGGAAACUCGAAUUAAUACCGCAUACGACCUACGGGUGAAAGGGGGCGCAAGCUCUUGCUAUUAGAUGAGCCUAAAUCAGAUUAGCUAGUUGGUGGGGUAAAGGCCCACCAAGGCGACGAUCUGUAACUGGUCUGAGAGGAUGAUCAGUCACACCGGAACUGAGACACGGUCCGGACUCCUACGGGAGGCAGCAGUGGGGAAUAUUGGACAAUGGGGGCAACCCUGAUCCAGCCAUGCCGCGUGUGUGAAGAAGGCCUUUUGGUUGUAAAGCACUUUAAGCAGGGAGGAGAGGCUAAUGGUUAAUACCCAUUAGAUUAGACGUUACCUGCAGAAUAAGCACCGGCUAACUCUGUGCCAGCAGCCGCGGUAAUACAGAGGGUGCGAGCGUUAAUCGGAAUUACUGGGCGUAAAGCGAGUGUAGGUGGCUCAUUAAGUCACAUGUGAAAUCCCCGGGCUUAACCUGGGAACUGCAUGUGAUACUGGUGGUGCUAGAAUAUGUGAGAGGGAAGUAGAAUUCCAGGUGUAGCGGUGAAAUGCGUAGAGAUCUGGAGGAAUACCGAUGGCGAAGGCAGCUUCCUGGCAUAAUAUUGACACUGAGAUUCGAAAGCGUGGGUAGCAAACAGGAUUAGAUACCCUGGUAGUCCACGCCGUAAACGAUGUCUACUAGCCGUUGGGGUCCUUGAGACUUUAGUGGCGCAGUUAACGCGAUAAGUAGACCGCCUGGGGAGUACGGCCGCAAGGUUAAAACUCAAAUGAAUUGACGGGGGCCCGCACAAGCGGUGGAGCAUGUGGUUUAAUUCGAUGCAACGCGAAGAACCUUACCUGGUCUUGACAUAGUGAGAAUCUUUCAGAGAUGAGAGAGUGCCUUCGGGAAUUCACAUACAGGUGCUGCAUGGCUGUCGUCAGCUCGUGUCGUGAGAUGUUGGGUUAAGUCCCGCAACGAGCGCAACCCUUUUCCUUAUUUGCCAGCGGGUUAAGCCGGGAACUUUAAGGAUACUGCCAGUGACAAACUGGAGGAAGGCGGGGACGACGUCAAGUCAUCAUGGCCCUUACGACCAGGGCUACACACGUGCUACAAUGGUAGGUACAGAGGGUUGCUACACAGCGAUGUGAUGCUAAUCUCAAAAAGCCUAUCGUAGUCCGGAUUGGAGUCUGCAACUCGACUCCAUGAAGUCGGAAUCGCUAGUAAUCGCAGAUCAGAAUGCUGCGGUGAAUACGUUCCCGGGCCUUGUACACACCGCCCGUCACACCAUGGGAGUCUAUUGCACCAGAAGUAGGUAGCCUAAC